GAUAUUUAGCAUGGCCCCUGUGCAAGGAUGAAAUGCAGAUUCAUGAAGCAUUCCAUAUUUUU
rnacentral:snRNA from 1 species